rnacentral:rRNA from 1 species
GGCGUGCUUAACACAUGCAAGUCGAACGAUGAAGCGCAGCUUGCUGCGUGGAUUAGUGGCGAACGGGUGAGUAACACGUGAGUAACCUGCCCUCCACUCUGGGAUAACUCCGGGAAACCGGUGCUAAUACUGGAUAUGACACCUUCCUGCAGGGGUGGGUGUGGAAAGAUUUAUCGGUGGUGGAUGGACUCGCGGCCUAUCAGCUUGUUGGUGGGGUAAUGGCCUACCAAGGCGACGACGGGUAGCCGGCCUGAGAGGGUGACCGGCCACACUGGGACUGAGACACGGCCCAGACUCCUACGGGAGGCAGCAGUGGGGAAUAUUGCACAAUGGGCGAAAGCCUGAUGCAGCGACGCCGCGUGCGGGAUGACGGCCUUCGGGUUGUAAACCGCUUUCAGCUCUGACGAAGCUUUUGUGACGGUAGGAGCAGAAGAAGCACCGGCUAACUACGUGCCAGCAGCCGCGGUAAUACGUAGGGUGCGAGCGUUGUCCGGAAUUAUUGGGCGUAAAGAGCUUGUAGGCGGCUUGUCGCGUCUGCUGUGAAAGCCCGGGGCUUAACCCCGGGUCUGCAGUGGGUACGGGCAGGCUAGAGUGUGGUAGGGGAGACUGGAAUUCCUGGUGUAGCGGUGGAAUGCGCAGAUAUCAGGAGGAACACCGAUGGCGAAGGCAGGUCUCUGGGCCAUUACUGACGCUGAGAAGCGAAAGCGUGGGGAGCGAACAGGAUUUGAUACCCUGGUAGUCCACGCCGUAAACGUUGGGCGCUAGGUGUGGGUCCCAUUCCACGGGGUCCGUGCCGCAGCUAACGCAUUAAGCGCCCCGCCUGGGGAGUACGGCCGCAAGGCUAAAACUCAAAUGAAUUGACGG